GAUGAACGCUGGCGGCGUGCCUCAUACAUGCAAGUCGAGCGCAGCGGGGACAGUUGAGUAACACGUGGAUAACCUCAUAUAAGACUGGGAUAACUUCGGGAAAACGGAGGUAAACCGGAUACACAUAGAUAGAUACACGCUGCAUGAGCUGGUUGGUAAGGUAACGGCUUACCAAGGAAACGAUGCAUAGCAUACCUUAGAGGGUGAUCGGCCACACUGGAACUGAGACACGGUCCAGACUCCGACGGGCGGCAGCAGUAGGGAAUCUUCCUCAAUGGGCGAAAGCCUGACGGAGCAACGCCGCGUGAGUGAUGAAGGUCUUCGGAUCGUAAAACACUGUUAUGAGGGAAGCGGUACCUAAUCAGAAAGCCACGGCUAACUACGUGCCAGCAGCCGCGGUAAUUC
rnacentral:rRNA from 1 species